GACGAACCGUGCGAACGUUGUUCGGAAUCACUGGGCUUAAAGGGCGCGUAGGCGGCUGAUCAAGUCCGGGGUGAAAGCCCCCAGCUUAACUGGGGAAGUGCCUUGGAAACUGAUGUGCUUGAGGGAGGUAGGGGUCGAGGGAACUUCUGGUGGAGCGGUGAAAUGCGUUGAUAUCAGAAGGAACGCCGGUGGCGAAAGCGCUCGACUGGACCUUUUCUGACGCUGAAGCGCGAAAGCUAGGGGAGCAAACGGG
rnacentral:rRNA from 1 species